AGCGUUGUUCGGAAUUACUGGGCGUAAAGCGUACGUAGGCGGUUAUUCAAGUCAGAGGUGAAAGCCCGGGGCUCAACCCCGGAAUAGCCUUUGAAACUGGAGAACUUGAAUCUUGGAGAGGUCAGUGGAAUUCCGAGUGUAG
rnacentral:rRNA from 1 species